rnacentral:rRNA from 1 species
UUAUUCCAGUACCACCAUGUUCGCGACCGUUCCAAUACUUUGUUGCUAAGGGGCUGUGUUGACUUCGGUUAACACGAACCGACCCACAUUGUUGCGGAAAGCUAUAGGGGGACGCAGGAAGGUAGAUGAACCCGGUGAAUGGUAGAACCGGGGUAAGCGUGUAGGAGGAGGACCAGGCAAAUCCGGGCCUCAUAUACUCUGAGACGUGAUACCGAGCCGCUUCAGGCGAAGUCAUUAAUCCUAUGCUGCCUAGAAAAGCCCAGUAGCGAGUUGACAUGGUGCCCGUACCCCAAACCAACACAGGUGGACAGGUAGAGCAUACCAAGGCGAGUGGGAUAACUAUGGUUAAGGAACUCGGCAAAUUUCCUCCGUAACUUCGGGAUAAGGAGGACCCCAGUAGCGUGACGAGACUUGCUCUCCGAGCGUGAAGGGGUGGCACAAAAUUGAGGGAAGCGACUGUUUACCAAAAACACAGCAGCGUGCUAAGCCGUAAGGCGCUGUAUACGCUGUGACUCCUGCCCGGUGCUGGAAGGUUACGGGGAUGGGUUAGUCCUUUGGGACGAAGCUCUGAACCUAAGCCCCAGUAAACGGCGGCCGUAACUAUAACGGUCCUAAGGUAGCGAAAUUCCUUGUCGGGUAAGUUCCGACCUGCACGAAUGGAGUAACGACUUCCCUACUGUCUCAACCAUAGACCCAGCGAAAUUGAAGUACGAGUAAAGAUGCUCGUUAGCUGCAGAAGGACGGAAAGACCCCGUGGACCUUUACUAUAACUUGAUGUUGUGUUUUGUCAUAUGUUGUGUAGGAUAGGUGGGAGACAAGGAAGCAUGGACGCUAGUCUGUGCGGAGUCAUCGUUGAAAUACCACCCUGCAUAUGGUGAGGCUCUAACCUAGACCCGUUAUCCGGGUUGGGGACAGCGUCAGGCGGGUAGUUUAACUGGGGCGGUUGCCUCCUAAAGAGUAACGGAGGCGCCCAAAGGUUCCCUCAGCCUGGUUGGCAAUCAGGCGUCGAGUGCAAUGGCAAAAGGGAGCUUGACUGCGAGACCUACAAGUCGAGCAGGAGCGAAAGCUGGGCAUAGUGAUCCGGCGGUUGCGUGUGGAAGCGCCGUCGCUCAACGGAUAAAAGGUACCCCGGGGAUAACAGGCUAAUCUUGCCCAAGCGUCCAUAGCGACGGCAAGGUUUGGCACCUCGAUGUCGGCUCAUCGCAUCCUGGGGCUGAAGCAGGUCCCAAGGGUUGGGCUGUUCGCCCAUUAAAGCGGUACGCGAGCUGGGUUCAGAACGUCGUGAGACAGUUCGGUCCCUAUCCUCUGUAGCCGUAGGUGAAUUGAGGAAAGCUGUCCCUAGUACGAGAGGACCGGGACGGACGCAGCUCUCGUGUGCCAGUUGUCCUGCCAAGGGCAUGGCUGGUUAGCGACCUGCGGAAAGGAUAACCGCUGAAAGCAUCUAAGCGGGAAGCCUCUUCCAAGAUGAAUUCACCCACAGGGUUAACCUGGUAAGGCCCGUGGUAGACCACCACGUUGAUAGGCCGGAAGUGUAAGCGUGGCAACACGUUCAGCUGACCGGUACUAAUCGGCCGAGGGCUUGAACC